UUAUUUGAUUUUUUCAAUCACAACAUUUUGAAUUAUUAUUUAUUGUUGUUGUUGUUGUUAUUUUCGUGAUUAUUAACCAUUCAGAAAACACUCAUAUUCGAUAUAACAAUAAACGAAAGUCAAAUGGCCAACAUAUAUAGUGUGAUUUAUUGUGAUUUUGAAUGAAAAAAAAAAAUUUUUUUUUUUUUUUCAUUACCAAACAAACAACGACAAGAAUCACAUCCAUAUAUCACCAAAAGAUUCAUCAUCAUUUUUGUAUGAUUAAUUUUUUCGACUUCAGAAAAAUUAUCUUGGAUAACACAAGAUAAAAAAAAAAUUUUUUUUGGCCACAUUAUCAUCAUCAUCAUCAUCAUCAUAAUUAUCAUUGUCGAAUGAAUGAAUGUUUUGCGUGCUUGUAUGCUUCAGUCCAUGAAAAUCCCGUAAAUUUUUUUUUUGUAACUCAAAUACUAGUUACCUUGAUUGAAAUGAACAUGAAAUCGACCUUUUCGGAUAUAUCGUUUGAUUUUAUUUGACCAUUUUUUUGUUUCAUUCACUACUCACUGUGUGUGUGUGUGUGUGUCGAACAACGAAUAAAAACUUUAACCUCGAAAUUGACCGUGUUCGUCAUCAUUGCUCAUCAUUGUUAUCGAGAUAUCCAGUUUAAAAUUAUUUAAUCAUCUUCAAUCACAUUGAAUGCAGCUAUAGUGUACAAUAUAGCAACAACAACAACAACAACAACAACAAAACUUUAUUACUAAGCUAUACAUUGAAAAUCUAUCGAUCAAUCAAUAAUUGUAAAAUAAAAACAACGUACAAAUUUCAUAUAUUCACCAGAAAAUUCAUUUUU